rnacentral:lncRNA from 1 species
UAAAACAGACUGAUAAGAAUCAUGACUAAACCAAAAGCAGAAAACACAUUAUAAUAUUUUUGAGUAAUCUAAGCAGUUGAGCAGAGAAAAAUAUUCUACUAUUAGCAGUGUAUGUAACAGCAUCAAGAAAUAGUUACUCCCUCCGGUCCACAAUAAGUGUCCAAUUUACUUUUAGCACGCCCAUUAAGAAAAUACUAAAUCCUAUACAAAAAUACCUAGUAUGACCAAACUACCCCUAAUUAAACAUUUAAUGUGAGGAGUAAGAAAACUUUUUAGGGAUAUGUACAUAGGGGUUAUUUUGUAAAAACAAAUUGAAUUCUUUCUGGAUUACAUAACUAAAUUUGAACCAAAAUAAAAAAGUAAAUUGGACACUUAUUAUGGACCGGAGGGAGUACUGCAUCUGUGAGAAGUAUUUCAUUCAGCAAAGAAGCCUUGCAAAAGAUCAAUAAGCAGAUGUCUGCAAUAAGUUUGGCCGUCAAAUAGACUUGAGUUCCUCGCACUCUUCCAAUACCUGUAAAGUUUCUUGAUGAACACAUUGUGGAGUUCUCUUUUUGUGUGGUUGACCUAAACAACAAAUAAACGACAUACUUAUCAAACAAAACGGGAGAACUAACUAUGCAUACAUACAAACAAACAUUACAGACACAGGCGCGCGCACACACGUGUGUUAUAUAUUCUUUUGCCAUUGAUGCAACUACAUAUCCAAAUAAAACAAGCGAACAGUCGUUGCAUUGAUGUUAGCCUCUUACUUUUGGCAGAAAAAGCAAGAGCAUUCCAACCUUCAAACCUAAAAAAGAUUAUUUACUAUUCCUAUUUGUUUCUGAAAUAAAAUACAAAAACACAACAUAGCCGAUAGACCACAGCAAAGUCUCACGGUGAUUAGAAUUUCACUUGAAAGGAAAAAAUCUCUUGCCAAAGGAGAAAGACAGAAAACGAUACACCAGAUUAUGGGAAGAGUUACACAAUCAAAUUGGAAAAAGUAACACAUCCUGGCGUAGAGCACUCAAUCUAAAAUUGCAAAAGAUCUGCAAUAAUCAAUCUAAAAAUACAAAAAACUGCAAUAAAUAGAACUAGAAAAUCCUCCAUAUUAUUAGCACAAGUCUAUUGAAAGCAAGUGAUGUCAAAAUAUCAAUGCAAAAGGAAUUUAAGACGGAAAACCAUGAUAUCAUUAUUACCAGAAAAUGCAUGAUUGCUUUAGGUACCGAGUCCUCGAUGUUUUUUCUGACAAUGUCAUAAUAUGACCUUAAUAACAGUUUUGUAUGCAUGAUUGCUUUAGGUACGGAGUCCUCGAUGUUUUUUCUGACAAUGUCAUAAUAUGACCUUAAUAACAGUUUUGUGAUGGCAAUUUCAAUAGUCUCCUGAUCCGAAUGAGUUUCUGACGGCCUUAGUACACUUGGGGGCUUCAAAAUGGAGCAUUUCACGAGUAAGGAUAUCAAAAUUGAACUACCUAAUAAUCAUAGACUACAGAAGGCCUUC